rnacentral:rRNA from 1 species
UACGUAGGGGGCAAGCGUUGUCCGGAGUUACUGGGCGUAAAGCGCACGCAGGCGGUCUCUUAAGUUUGGAGUGACAGUUGGUGGCUUAACUGCCAAAGUGCUUCGAAAACUGAGAGACUUGAGGGCUUCAGAGGGACACGGAAUUCCGGGUGGAGUGGUGAAAUGCGCAGAUAUCAGGAGGAACACCGGUGGCGAAGGCGGAUCUCUGGGCCAUUACUGACGCUGAGACGCGAAAGCGUGGGGAGCGAGCAGG